GAUGAACGCUGGCGGCGUGCUUAAUACAUGCAAGUCGAACGGAGACAGUAGCAAUAUUGUCUUAGUGGCGAACGGGUGAGUAACGCGCUGGUGACCUGCCCCGAAGAGGGGGAUAACAGUCCGAAAGGAUUGCUAAUACCCCAUGUGGUCAUUUGGAUUAGAUGCCUUAUGACUAAACGGAUUUAUUCGCUUCGGGAGGGGCCUGCGUCCCAUCAGCUAGUUGGUAAGGUAAUGGCUUACCAAGGCGAUGACGGGUAGGGGACCUGAGAGGGUGGCCCCCCACAAUGGAACUGAAACACGGUCCAUACACCUACGGGUGGCAGCAGUAGGGAAUAUUGGUAAUGGGCGAAAGCCCGAACCAGCAACGCCGCGUGCGCGAUGAAGGCCUUCGGGUUGUAAAGCGCUUUUUAAGGGGAUGAGGAAGGACAGUACUCUUAGAAUAAGCCUCGGCUAACUACGUGCCAGCCGCCGCUGUAAAAC
rnacentral:rRNA from 1 species